rnacentral:rRNA from 1 species
UACGGGGGGGGCAAGCGUUGUUCGGAAUUACUGGGCGUAAAGGGCUCGUAGGUGGCCAAUUAAGUCAGACGUGAAAUCCCCAGGCUUAACCUGGGAACUGCGUCUGAUACUGGUUGGCUUGAAUUCGGGAGAGGGAUGCAGAAUUCCAGGUGUAGCGGUGAAAUGCGUAGAUAUCUGGAGGAAUACCGGUGGCGAAGGCGGCAUCCUGGACCGGAAUUGACACUGAGGAGCGAAAGCCAGGGGAGCAAACGGG